AUGCCCGGUGUGGUGGCGUCUAGAGAGAUUUUACGUAGAAAAGAGGAAGCCCGUGUGCCCAGAGGUGCAGGCCUCGGGGGAGGUAGGCUGCUGGGAGGGACACACGGGCCACAGGCAGCAGGAGGGGGCGCCUGCCCAGAGCCUGACCCAGCACUCGGCCCUCUGUGCCUGCGGCCUGCUGUCCUGCUGCUUUCCGUCGCUUCAGGGGCUCUACCUGCCAGGAGCUUUCCCAGCACAGGGCUGUCCUCUCAGGAGCGCGGUGACAGGACCGGGUCCUCGGGCCACCCUGGGGGCCCAGGGGCUGCCCGUGGAGAAGGGGCAUGGCAGGAGCCAGCUCCCACACUCAGGGCCUGGGCCUGGGGGCUGUGGUUCACACCCGGGGCAUCAUGCCCUCUCGUGCCUCGCUUGGGGGGGCACGCCCCGGCCACUGCCUCGGGGUUUGGGGCGAUGUGUGGACACCGGCUCCGUUCAUGUGACCAACUUGAUGCUCCCUCUCUUUUAGGGCCCGAGACGAUGAUCCCACCGGGGGAAUGCCUAUAUGCCGGGAGGAAACGCAGGAAGCCCGUUCAGAAACAGAGGCCCGCCGUGGGCGCUGAGAAGUCGAACCCCUCCAAGCGGCACCGGGACCGCCUGAACGCUGAGCUGGACCACCUGGCCAGCCUGCUGCCGCUGCCGCCCGACAUCAUCUCUAAGCUCGACAAGCUUUCCGUCCUGCGCCUCAGUGUCAGCUACCUCAGGGUGAAGAGCUUCUUCCAAGCCCUGCAGGAGAGGUGCCCAAGGCAGCUGGUGGCUGCUGCCCCGUCGCCAGGAGACCGGGGUCCACGCAGAGGGUCUGCAGGCUCAGCCGUGCUGGAGGGAAGGCUGCUGCUGGAGUCCCUCCACGGCUUCGCUCUGGUGGUGAGCGCGGAAGGGAUGAUCUUCUACGCGUCGGCCACGAUCGUGGACUACCUGGGCUUCCACCAGACGGACGUGAUGCACCAGAAUAUUUACGACUACAUCCACGUGGAUGACCGCCAGGACUUCCGCCGGCAGCUGCACUGGGCCAUGGACCCUCCUCAGGCAGGGUGCGGGCAGCCCCUGCUCUCGGAGACAGGAGAGGAUGCGGUCCUGGGGAGGCUGCUCCGGGCCCAGGAAGGGGGCGCAGACCCGCCCACCGAGUACUCGGCCUUCCUGACCCGCUCCUUCGUCUGCCGUGUGCGCUGCCUGCUGGACAGCACCUCGGGCUUCCUGACGAUGCAGUUUCAAGGACGACUGAAGUUCCUCUUCGGACAGAACAGGCGGGCACCCUCGGGCGCGGCCCUGCCCCCACGGCUGGCCCUGUUCUGCGUGGCGGCCCCUCUGGCCCUGCCCCCCGGCGUGGAGGUGAGGAUGAAGACCGUGUACCUGAGGGCGAAGCACAGGGCGGACGUCCCGGCCUCAACCGACGCGAAAGCAAAAGCUGCCUCACGUCUCUGCGAAUCAGAAUUGCUCGGAAACCCCAAUUACUCAGCAGGGAGAAGCAACAGAGAAAACGGCCUCUCCUUGUUCAGGGCGCCAGAGGACGCCUGCCGCUGGGGCCGGCUCACAGCCCGGGGCCCCUGCCUGUGCCUCCGGGGAGGCCCUGACCUCGUCCUUGACCUCGAGGGCACCGCAGGGGCCGGGGAAGGAGAGGAGCUCGGGGGGCUCCCGCGGGAUGUGCCCCCGUACAGCUGCCGCCUAGAGCCCCUGGGCCCUGUGAAGCACCUGGACUGGGCUGCUGGGAGGCACAGUCAGGACAGCGGCAGCGCCAAGCGGAAGCUGGAGCCCGGCAAGGCCGACCCGUUCCCCGCCGCCCCGGCCCGUGGCGCCUGCCUGCCCUACCCGGGUGCGCAGGGCGCCGUCCACUCCCUCCGGAGCGCACCCAGCUCACACCCGUCCAGGCCGCCCCCUGGGGCCUGCGCCAGCCGGCCCAGCAGAGCCCUGCGGGACGGGCACCAGGGCCCAGCACCGCCCCCCACCCCCGGCCCCUUCCCCCAGGGGGGCCUGGACAGCAGGGUCCCUCGGCCGGCAGUCCAGCAUCUCCCAGUGGGCGGCUACCCCGCUGAGGACAAGCUGCGAGGCCUUCUGAUGCCCCCAGGAGCCCCGAGUCACCCCACAUUGUCGCUCGACGUGCCCAUCAAGAUGGAGAGUGACUCGGGGUCCGAGGAUGCAGUGGAUGGCUACUGCGUGUCCCCAGCCCAGGUGUGGCUGGGGGCCAGCAACCCAGCCAAGAGACAGCUGGCCACCUUCCCAACCAAGAUGCACCUGAAGACAGAGCCAGGCGCCAGGCAGCCCCUGUACAGCCCACCCCCAGGCCCUGGCCUGCUGGGUGCCCCGCCCAGACCCGGCAGGGGGCUGGGCCCGCUGCACCCCGUGUCCUGUGCCUGCCUGGAGCCCCCGCCCCCGCCCCGCCUCUGUGUGCGGAGCCACCAGCCCCCCAACCUGGGCUGCAACUGCCGGGCUCCCGUGCCAGCUCCCGCAGUCAAGCUCGAGCCCCUGGACUCGCCCCUGUGGGCAGCUCACGGCCAAGGUGGGCCGCCUGGGCUGUUCUCCAAGAGCGCCCCGGCCGCAGGGAUGCCCCCCAGGGACGUGCAGUGCGCCUUCCUGCCCUAG
rnacentral:lncRNA from 1 species